ensembl:lncRNA
GUGCAGAGAGAGAUGUAACUAAUGGAUGGGAUAACGGAGGACGGAAAGCAUAGUGCAGAGUGAGCUCUGGAUAAGAGACACCUCAGCAGGACAGCAGCUCUCUCUCUCUCCGCCUUGUCCAUCUCUGUGCUGGACUCAGCGGUUCCUCGGAGGCCUUGUAUGGCAGGCUUUUCCCCUCAUAUUGACAGACUGCUUUAACACAAUAGCUAGCCAUGGCUUUGAAAAUGGAUGUCCUCCUCCCUCUGCACCCCUGCGCUGAGCCCAACGCCUAGAACUUCGGUUCCCUCACCAUGACACCCGCAUUCAGCCAAGAAGACAGACAGAGUAAACGUGGACAAAGGCAAGUGUGGAGGGAGAGUGCGAGAAAAGAAGAAAAGGGGCAAGUGAUAGCAAAGAAAAGAAGAUGAAUGGAAAUUGGGGGGCAAGAUCGACCGACCGUGCUCACCUUUUGUCCUGUCUCUCAAUUUUUUCUUUUUGUCUUAUUUUAAAUUUUUUUCCCUUCUCUCUUUUGUAGUAAUCCAUGAAGUUUUACCGAGAGAGAGAGACAGAGAGACAGAGAGAGAGAACGAGAGCAUUCUUAAAAGAGAGAGAGAAAAAUAGCUAAAGCUAGACAGCAGCUCCAGACAGGAAGAAACCUACAUUGGUUGUUACCGCUCUUCUCUGGUUCUUCUCUUUCUAAGUUUCCUGCCGUGCUCCCGCUUGGUCAGGUCCGGACUCGCUGUACUGUCAGAGAGAAGCAGUUGCAGCACAAUGACUUUCUAACUCCCCCCACCCUUCAUCCCCAUCAGCACCUGCAAGUGGAAAACUGAGUUGUGGUAUGGAAUAGUGUUGAGAGCAGCUGUGGAGGGGCCCAGCCUUGGGGAGAGCUGCAGUCAUUCCUCAGCUCCCUCCGAGACACAUUCAGCCAUCACACCCCAUGACAAAACAAACAAGAUCUGUGAUGACUGGAGCAUGGCCAACUUUCUGAGGCUAGAGGGAGAAAAAGAAUAAAUAAAUGGUCCUCCAUCAGAGGCAAGCAUCCUCCCCAGAAGCUGCUAGUGUUCUGAGAGCCAUGUACCCCUACCCCCAUCACCCCAACCCCUGUUUGCUCAAUACAGUACGCAAGCAAAUUAAAUUACUGUCUCAAAUGGAGAAAUGGUGAGUCCUUUGACCAAUCACACUAUAUGAAGAGAAAGGGGGUUCUGCUGAUGCAGAUAUAUUGCAUGGUAUAUUUGUUCUCUGACCAAAGACACAGUAUGUGCUCCUAUAUAAUGACUUUCAUAUUUAUCCCAUGGGUGUCAGCCAGUCACUACAGUCUGCCAUCCAAACUCGGGCCAGGCAGAGAAGAGACCUAUUAAAGACUUGUCAAGUGUGUCCUAUCUGUCUAUGAAUCUAUAGAGUGUAAGUGGGUGGUAUGAUAAGGGAAUGAUCUUACUCAUACUUGCAAAUGAUGGCUUUACAGCUGCAGAAGUUUACAUUUUGCAGCAGAAUUGCUGAAAGGCUAUAAAUAGAGCCAUUGACAAAGGCUAAGCAACUAAUAUUCUUCUUUCUGUGCUUUGUAAGACAGCUGGCUAUAAAUUGUGGUUAUUGCAGUUUUGUUAUUGCAAUAUUGACAAAUGCAUCUCUACACUGAGUUUGUACACAAGUUCACAAUAAAGCUAAACAUUUUAUGUCAGAGGUUUGUGUGGUAGUCUGGGAAAACCCAUCAGAUGUCACUGUGUGAAUUUAGCCAAAAUAGAGCAAAAAAAAAAGUUUUUUCUGUCUAUAACAUACUUUUACACGUCAAUUUUUUAAAAUUAACAUACUUUAGCAAAAUAUUACAAAAAUGUUUUUAUUUGCUUUUUAAUCUUGCCUAGGCUAUCUUCCUGCAAUGAUUAUGUUCCGAAAGGAAUCAGUUUCACAAACAUGGUUGUAAAAGCAGUCAGUCUGGCUAAAGAUAUCUAAAACCUUGCUAGCUAAAUGCACUAUACUCACACAGUGAAUGUCAUGCAUUGAUGAAGUUGGUGGAUAGCUACCUGCUGUAGCAAAAUGGCCAUACUUAAUCAGUUCAGUUUGAUAUCAGAUAUAUAAUAUUAUAAUAUUGGAAUCUUUAAAUGUAAUUUUCUCCCUUUUCACUUUUAGGAAUAAUCAGACUUUAAAAUGCUAACGUUACUUCAGGUUAACUUACACUAUAUGGUCAAAAGUUUGUGGACACUUGACUGUCACAUCCAUAUGUGCUUGUUGAACAUCCCAUUACAGACUUAGUCCACCUUUGUUGUUAGUCCAUUUUUAGGAAGGCUUUCCACUGGAUUUUGGAACAUGGCUGUGGGGAUUUGUUCAUUAGUGAGGUCAGGCACUGAUGUUGGACAUGGAGGCCUGGCGCAGAGUCAGCUUUUCAGUUCAUGGGUGUUCAGGACAGGGAUCUGUGCAAGCCACACGAAUUUUUCUCCAACCAAACCAUUUGUUUUCUCCAAAUGUCUUCAUGGAACUCACUUUGUGCAUAGGGGCAUAGUCAUGCUGGAACAUGUUUGGGCCCCUUAGUUCCAGUGAAGGGAAAUUGUAACGCUACAGGAUACAAUUGUGUGCUUCCAACUUGUGGCAACAGUUUGGAGAAGACCCACAUAUGGGUGUGAUGGCCAGGUGUCUACAAACAUUUGGCCAUAUGUAGUAUAUAGUAGAAAAUGUCGAAAUUUCACCAUGUGAAGAAUUUUUUUUAGGCUGCCACACAUACGAUUAAAUAUGAUUUAAUGCUGUUGUCACACAGUACAGUAUAAUUGUCAUUGUUUUGGCUUCAAUACAGUGGAAACUCAACCACUUCAAGUCCAACUAUAAAUUAUUAUAGUCAUAUUAUAUAAACUAUUCAGUAGAUACUCAAGAAAGCUGACUAAAUGAAGACUACAGAGUGAGGAAUGAAAGUAACGAGUCCUAGGAAUUUAAGGGGAGAAAAUUUUAGGAUAAUAUUUUUAGGAUAUUUACAUCUUUACCUCAUAUCCCUAUGAAAUAGAGAAUCUAUCCAUCUCUCUCGCUCUCUCUCUUGAGUUGAGUACUGUGCAAAAGUUUUAGGCACUAGAUUUAGCAUUUUAUGACUUCUAUAUUAUCAAGUCAGUACCAAAAACAUUUUAGAUUCCCAAGCAUUAGUUUUCUAGCACAAAAUUAAAUGUUACAGAAAAUGUCUGUUUGUCAUUAAAGAAAGCAGCAUAUUGCGUAAGAGUCAUUUUUCAGUCAAAAAACACAAUGAAGACUGAUGGAUUUUGCUGCAAAAAUAAGAAGCAAGUGCGACAAUCAAAGUCUCCAGAAGAACUGUGGUUGGUUCUCCAAGAUGCUCAGUAAAACGUUUCCUUAUAAAACUGCACAAAUUGUACCAAAGACUACUAUUUUAAUUUACAUUUUUUUUGUCACAGCAAAUAUUGACUUGGUUUCAUUUACUACUGUUUACUGCUCUUUACAGUGUGUGUGUGUGUAUAUAUAUAUAUAUAUAUAUAUAUAUAUAUAUAUAUAUAUAUAUAUAUAUAU